UCAACGCUGGCGGCGUGCCUAACACAUGCAAGUCGAACGAGAAAGUGGAGCAAUCCAUGAGUACAGUGGCGUACGGGUGAGUAACACGUGACUAACCUACCCUCGAGUGGGGAAUAACCUCGGGAAACCGGGGCUAACACCGCAUAAUAUCUACGGAUCAAAUGCGAAAGCAGCUUGAGGAGGGGGUCGCGGCCGAUUAGCUAGUUGGUGAGGUAAUGGCUCACCAAGGCAAUGAUCGGUAGCCGGCCUGAGAGGGCGCACGGCCACACUGGAACUGAAACACGGUCCAGACCCCUACGGGAGGCAGCAGUGGGGAAUUUUGCGCAAUGGGGGAAACCCUGACGCAGCAACGCCGCGUGGAGGAUGAAGUCCCUUGGGACGUAAACUCCUUUCGAUCGGGACGAUUAUGACGGUACCGGAAGAAGAAGCCCCCGGCUAACUUCGUGCCAGCAGCCGCA
rnacentral:rRNA from 1 species